rnacentral:rRNA from 1 species
GUGAGGAAUAUUGGUCAAUGGGCGCAAGCCUGAACCAGCCAUGCCGCGUGCAGGAAGACGGUCCUAUGGAUUGUAAACUGCUUUUAUUUGGGAAUAAACUCCGGUACGUGUACCGGCCUGAAGGUACCAAAUGAAUAAGCACCGACUAACUCCGUGCCAGCAGCCGCGGUAAUACGGAGGGUGCAAGCGUUAUCCGGAAUCAUUGGGUUUAAAGGGUCCGCAGGCGGUCUUAUAAGUCAGUGGUGAAAGCCUACAGCUCAACUGUAGAACUGCCAUUGAUACUGUAGGACUUGAAUUCGAUCGAAGUGGGCGGAAUGUGACAUGUAGCGGUGAAAUGCUUAGAUAUGUCACAGAACACCGAUAGCGAAGGCAGCUCACUAGGUCUGGAUUGACGCUCAGGGACGAAAGCGUGGGGAGCAAACAGGGUUAGAAACCCCAGUAGUCC